rnacentral:rRNA from 1 species
AUUAAAAACCAAUGCCCUUCGGGGCUCUCUGGUGAUUCAUGAUAACUUCUCGAAUCGCAUGGCCUUGCGCCGGCGAUGGUUCAUUCAAAUUUCUUCCCUAUCAACUUUCGAUGUUUGGGUAUUGGCCAAACAUGGUUGCAACGGGUAACGGAGGGUUAGGGCUCGACCCCGGAGAAGGAGCCUGAGAAGCGGCUACUACAUCCAAGGAAGGCAGCAGGCGCGCAAAUUACCCAAUCCCGACUCGGGGAGGUAGUGACAAUAAAUACUGAUACAGGGUUCUUUUGGAUCUUGUAAUUGGAAUGAGUACAAUUUAAAUCCCUUAACGAGGAACAAUUGGAGGGCAAGUCUGGUGCCAGCAGCCGCGGUAAUUCCAGCUCCAAUAGCGUAUAUUAAAGUUGUUGUGGUUAAAAAGCUCGUAGUUGAACCUUGGGCCUGGCUGGCCGGUCUGCCUCACCGCGUGUACUGGUCCGGCCGGGCCUUUCCCUCUGUGGAACCCUAUGCCCUUCACUGGGUGUAGC